GGGGAUUUGGCUCAGUGGUAGAGCACUUGCCUAGUAAGCGCAAGGCCCUGGGUUCGGUCCCCAGCUCCA
rnacentral:tRNA from 1 species